rnacentral:rRNA from 1 species
GAGGCAGCAGUAGGGAAUCUUCCGCAAUGGACGAAAGUCUGACGGAGCAACGCCGCGUGAGUGAAGAAGGUUUUCGGAUCGUAAAACUCUGUUGUUAAAGAAGAACAAGGAUGAGAGUAACUGCUCAUCCCCUGACGGUAUUUAACCAGAAAGCCACGGC